UGACGAAUAUAGUCAGGUGUU
rnacentral:siRNA from 1 species